GGCCGGUUAGCUCAUUCAGUUGAGCGUGGCGCUAACAACGCCAAGGAGGUGGGUUCGAUUCCUGUUCAGUCCC
rnacentral:tRNA from 1 species